rnacentral:rRNA from 1 species
GCCGUAAACAUUGAUAGGUUAAUACAACCCCUAUCCGCCCGGGAACUACAAGCACAAGCUUGAAACCCAAAGGACUUGGCGGUGCUUUAGAUCCUCCUAGAGGAGCCUGUUCUAGAACCGAUAACCCCCGUUCAACCUCACCUUUCCUUGUUUUUCCCGCCUAUAUACCGCCGUCGUCAGCCCACCCCGUGAGGGCUUAAAAGUAGGCUUAAUUGGCACAGCCCAAUACGUCAGGCCGAGGUGUAGCGUAUGGAAAGGGAAGAAAUGGGCUACAUUCCCUAUUUUAGGGCACACGAAUGAUAUGCUGAAACGCAUGUCUUGAAGGAGGAUUUAGCAGUAAGCAGAAAGUAGAGCGUUCUCCUGAAAUUGGCUCA